CCUACGGGUGGCAGCAGUGGGGAAUAUUGCGCAAUGGGCGAAAGCCUGACGCAGCGACGCCGCGUGAGGGAUGAAGGUCUUCGGAUCGUAAACCUCUGUCAGCAGGGAAGAACGGUCACUGUGCUAAUCAGCAGUGAAUUGACGGUACCUGCAAAGGAAGCACCGGCUAACUCCGUGCCAGCAGUCGCGGUAAUACGGAGGGUGCGAGCGUUAAUCGGAAUUACUGGGCGUAAAGCGCUCGUAGGCGGUAUGUCAAGUCAAGGGUGAAAUCCCCGCGCUCAACGUGGGAACUGCCUUGGAAACGGGGAAACGGGAGGGUGUGAGGGGAUAGUGGAAUGCCAGGUGUAGGAGUGAAAGCCGUAGAUAUCGGGAGGAACACCAGGGGCGAAGGCGACUAUCUGGCACAUAACUGACGCUGAGGCGCGAAAGCGUGGGUAGCAAACAGGAUUAGAUACCCUGGUAGUC
rnacentral:rRNA from 1 species